GUGCAAGGGUAGCCCAACUGGGAGAGGCAACGGUUUCAAACACCGUACAGUAGGGGUUCGAAUCCCCUCCCGCGCACCA
rnacentral:tRNA from 1 species